rfam:Salmo salar isolate Sally breed double haploid chromosome ssa17, whole genome shotgun sequence.
CCAAAGGCUCUUUUAAGAGACACAUAAUAAAUUAAAAUAAGCACAC